rnacentral:rRNA from 1 species
UUGGAUCCAGACUUUGAUUAUGGCUCAGGAUGAACGCUAGCCACAGGCUUAACACAUGCAAGUCGAGGGGAAACGAUAUUGGAAGCUUGCUUCCGAUAGGCGUCGACCGGCGCACGGGUGAGUAACGCGUAUCCAACCUGCCCAUCACUUGGGGAUAACCUUGCGAAAGUAAGACUAAUACCCAAUGACGUCUCUAGAAGACAUCUGAAAGAGAUUAAAGAUUUAUCGGUGAUGGAUGGGGAUGCGUCUGAUUAGCUUGUUGGCGGGGUAACGGCCCACCAAGGCAACGAUCAGUAGGGGUUCUGAGAGGAAGGUCCCCCACAUUGGAACUGAGACACGGUCCAAACUCCUACGGGAGGCAGCAGUGAGGAAUAUUGGUCAAUGGACGAGAGUCUGAACCAGCCAAGUAGCGUGCAGGAUGACGGCCCUAUGGGUUGUAAACUGCUUUUAUAAGGGAAUAAAGUGAGUCUCGUGAGACUUUUUGCAUGUACCUUAUGAAUAAGGACCGGCUAAUUCCGUGCCAGCAGCCGCGGUAAUACGGAAGGUCCGGGCGUUAUCCGGAUUUAUUUGGUUUAAAGGGAGCGUAGGCCGGAGAUUAAGCGUGUUGUGAAGUGUAGACGCUCAACGUCUGCACUGCAGCGCGAACUGGUUUCCUUGAGUACGCACAAAGUGGGCGGAAUUCGUGGUGUAGCGGUGAAAUGCUUAGAUAUCACGAAGAACUCCGAUUGCGAAGGCAGCUCACUGGGGCGCAACUGACGCUGAAGCUCGAAAGUGCGGGUAUCGAACAGGAUUAGAUACCCUGGUAGUCCGCACGGUAAACGAUGGAUGCCCGCUGUUGGUCUGAAUAGGUCAGCGGCCAAGCGAAAGCAUUAAGCAUCCCACCUGGGGAGUACGCCGGCAACGGUGCAACUCAAAGGAAUUGACGGA